rnacentral:snRNA from 1 species
GUGCUUGCUUUGGCAGCACAUAUACUAAAAUUGGAACAAUACAAGAGAAGAUUAGCAUAGCCCCUGCACAAGGAUGACAUGUUUCAAAAAAGAAAUCUAUUUAA